rnacentral:misc_RNA from 2 species
AACGCACAUUACGCCCCCUGGUAUUCCGGGGGGCAUGCCUGUCCGAGCGUCAUUUCUGCCCUCAAGCACGGCUUGUGUGUUGGGCCGCGUCCCCCCGGGGACGGGCCCGAAAGGCAGCGGCGGCACCGCGUCCGGUCCUCGAGCGUAUGGGGCUUUGUCACCCGCUCUUGUAGGCCCGGCCGGCGCCAGCCGACCCAACCAAUCUUUCUCAGGUUGACCUCGGAUCAGGUAGGGAUACCCGCUGAACUUAA